rnacentral:rRNA from 1 species
AUACGGAGGGUGCAAGCGUUAAUCGGAAUUACUGGGCGUAAAGCGUGCGUAGGUGGUUUGUUAAGUUAGAUGUGAAAGCCCCGGGCUCAACCUGGGAACUGCAUUUGAAACUGGCAUACUAGAGUAUAGAAGAGGAAAGUGGAAUUUCAGGUGUAGCGGUGAAAUGCGUAGAUAUCUGAAGGAACAUCAAUGGCGAAGGCAGCUUUCUGGACUAAUACUGACACUGAGGUACGAAAGCGUGGGUAGCAAACAGGAUUAGAAACCCUAGUAGUCC